GUGAGUCAUCGAAUCUUUGAACGCACAUUGCGCCCGCCAGUACUCUGGCGGGCAUGCCUGUCCGAGCGUCAUUUCAACCCUCAAGCCCCGCUUGGUGUUGGGGUCCUACGGCUGCCGUAGGCCCUGAAAGCUAGUGGCGGGCUCGCUAUAACUCCGAGCGUAGUAGUAACAUAUCUCGCUAGGGAGUCGUCGCGGGUUCCGGCCGUGAAAGCCCCAUCUUUUACACAAGGUUGACCUCGGAUCAGGUAGGAAUACCCGCUGAACUUAAGCAUAUCAAUAAGCGGAGGA
rnacentral:misc_RNA from 1 species